UUUUAUGGAGAGUUUGAUCCUGGCUCAGAGUGAACGCUGGCGGCGUGCCUAAUACAUGCAAGUCGAACGAUGAAGCUUCUAGCUUGCUAGAGUGCUGAUUAGUGGCGCACGGGUGAGUAAUGCAUAGGUCAUGUGCCUCUUAGUUUGGGAUAGCCAUUGGAAACGAUGAUUAAUACCAGAUACUCCCUACGGGGGAAAGAUUUAUCGCUAAGAGAUCAGCCUAUGUCCUAUCAGCUUGUUGGU
rnacentral:rRNA from 1 species